AAACAAGGGGCGGACGUCCGGCUGGCCUCUGUGACCAACGAGUGACCACAGAGCGGAGAGCGCCAUAAAACAGCUUGUUUUCCUAAAACGCGGAGGUUGCGCUAAUCCGAACCCCAAGAGGUCUCGACCAGGGUCUCGGCUUGGCGUGUGACUCCAUUUGGUCCACACACCCACUCAUCCAUGCCCCGUUGUGUGGAAUCCACUGAAUACAUACGGAAGUGUCUGCUUUACCAGAUACACUAUGGCAAGGAAAUGGCCACCUAAGCAAAAUGGGUGUGGUUCCUGAGCAAGAAGCUCCUUCCUCCUCCAAGUACAUCCUAAAGCAUAAAUGAACGAGCCGAAAGAAAGUCUUAGGCACGGUUGUAUAAGCAAAGGAGAUUAAAGAAAACAAAACAAA
rnacentral:lncRNA from 1 species